GAUGAAGAACGUAGCGAAAUGCGAUAAGUAAUGUGAAUUGCAGAAUUCAGUGAAUCAUCGAAUCUUUGAACGCACCUUGCGCCCUUUGGCCAUUCCGAAGGGCAUGCCUGUUUGAGUAUCAUGAACACCUCAACUCUUUAUGGUUUUCCAUGAUGAGCUUGGACUCUGGGGGUUUUGCUGGCUCACAGUCGGCUCCUCUAAAAUGAAUCAGCUUACCAGUGUUUGGUGGGUAUCAUGGGUGUGAUAACUAUCUACGCUUGUGGUUUUUCCACCAGGUAACCUUCAGCAGUGGAGGUUCGCUGGAGCUCAUAGAUGUCUCUCCUCAGUGAGGACAGCCCUUUGAAUGUUUGAUCUCAAAUCAGGUAGGACUACCCGCUGAACUUAAGCAUAUUAAUAAGCGGAGGA
rnacentral:misc_RNA from 1 species